rfam:Picea glauca, whole genome shotgun sequence.
ACAUGCCUACAACAUAGUGUUAAUGCACCAGAUCCCAUUAGAACUCUACAUUUAAGCACACUCAUGAUAGAUUAGUACUGGGAUGGGUGACUUCUCAAGAAAUCCUAGUGUUUUACAUGCC